UACCUGGUUGAUCCUGCCAGUAAUCAUAUGCUUGUCUCAAAGAUUAAGCCAUGCAUGUCUAAGUACAUGCCGAAAUAAGGCGAAACCGCGAAUGGCUCAUUAAAUCAGUUAUGGUUCCUUAGAUCGUUUCUUCCUACUUGGAUAACUGUGGCAAUUCUAGAGCUAAUACAUGCAGUGAGCCUGAAGCCCUUUGGGCGACGGGUGCUUUUAUUAGACCAAGAUCGAUCGGGUUUCGGCCCGUAUUGUGUGGUGACUCUGGAUAACUUUGUGCUGAUCGCAUGGCCACGAGCCGGCGACGUUUCUUUCAAGUGUCUGCCUUAUCAACUUUCGAUGGUAGGUUACUUGCUUACCAUGGUUGUUACGGGUAACGGAGAAUCAGGGUUCGAUUCCGGAGAGGGAGCCUGAGAAACGGCUACCACAUCCAAGGAAGGCAGCAGGCGCGCAAAUUACCCACUCCCGGCACGGGGAGGUAGUGACGAAAAAUAAAAUACGGGACUCUUUUGAGGCCCCGUAAUUGAAAUGAGUACACUCUAAAUCCUUUAACGAGGAUCAAUUGGAGGGCAAGUCUGGUGCCAGCAGCCGCGGUAAUUCCAGCUCCAAUAGCGUAUACUAAAGCUGCUGCGGUUAAAAAGCUCGUAGUUGGAUCUCAGUUCCAGACGAGUAGUGCAUCUACCCGAUGCGACGGCUCGGACUGAACAUCAUGCCGGUCCUUUCUUGGUGCACUUCAUUGUGUGCCUCGAGAAGGCCGGUGCUUUUACUUUGAAAAAAUUAGAGUGCUCAACGCAGGCGAGUCGCCUGAAUAAACUUGCAUGGAAUAAUAGAACAAGACCUCGUUUCUGUUCUGUUGGUUUUUGGAAUACGAGGUAAUGAUUAAGAGGGACAGACGGGGGCAUUCGUAUUGCGGCGCUAGAGGUGAAAUUCUUGGACCGUCGCAAGACGAACUACUGCGAAAGCAUUUGCCAAGAAUGUUUUCUUUGAUCAAGAACGAAAGUCAGAGGUUCGAAGGCGAUCAGAUACCGCCCUAGUUCUGACCAUAAACGAUGCCAACCAGCGAUCCGCCUGAGUUACUCAAAUGACUCGGCGGGCAGCUUCCGGGAAACCAAAGUAUUUGGGUUCCGGGGGAAGUAUGGUUGCAAAGCUGAAACUUAAAGGAAUUGACGGAAGGGCACCACCAGGAGUGGAGCCUGCGGCUUAAUUUGACUCAACACGGGAAAACUUACCCGGCCCGGACACUGGGAGGAUUGACAGAUUGAGAGCUCUUUCUUGAUUCGGUGGAUGGUGGUGCAUGGCCGUUCUUAGUUGGUGGAGCGAUUUGUCUGGUUAAUUCCGAUAACGAACGAGACUCUAGCCUAUUAAAUAGGUGCGGGGUUCCCAGCACCUUACAACCUUCUUAGAGGGACAAGCGGCUCCUAGCCGCACGAAACAGAGCAAUAACAGGUCUGUGAUGCCCUUAGAUGUCCGGGGCCGCACGCGCGCUACACUGAAGGAAGCAGCGUGUCUUUAUCCCUGUCUGAAAAGACUGGGUAACCCGUGGAACUUCUUUCGUGAUUGGGAUAGGGGCUUGCAAUUGUUCCCCUUGAACGAGGAAUUCCCAGUAAGCGCGAGUCAUAAGCUCGCGUUGAUUACGUCCCUGCCCUUUGUACACACCGCCCGUCGCUACUACCGAUUGAAUGAUUUAGUGAGGUCUUCGGACCGAUGUCCGGCGCGGCCUUUCGGUUGCGCCGGUCUGUUGGAAAGAUGACCAAACUUGAUCAUUUAGAGGAAGUAAAAGUCGUAACAAGGUUUCCGUAGGUGAACCUGCGGAAGGAUCAUUA
rnacentral:rRNA from 1 species